AUAAUACAGCAUUAUCGAAUGGAGUAGAGGGGGGGGUGGUGGGGGGUCUUAACCGCAUUAUCGAUGGAAGUAGAGGGGGGUGGGCGGGUCUUUAACAGCAUAUCGAGGGAGUAGAGGGGGGGUGGGGUCUUUAACAGCAUUAUCGAUGGAGAGUAGAGGGGUGGUGGGGGGGUCUUUAACAGCAUUAUCGAGGGAGUAGAGGGGGGUGGGAGGUCUUUAACAGCAUUAUCGAUGGAGUAGAGGGGGGUGGGGGUCUUCAACAGAAGUAUCGCUAUAUAAUACAUCACUAUAACUACAUCGCUGCUGUUCAGACUCCACAGCAACAUUUUAAGAACUAUUCUAAAAAGCCCUGAUAAACAGUAGUCUACUGUAUGUGAUCACCAUGUCGGUUCACCACAAUCAGUAAAGCCCUGAUAAACAGUAGUCUACUGUAUGUGAUCCUCAGUGUCGGUUCACCACAGUCAGUAAAGCCCUGAUAAACAGUAGUCUACUGU
rnacentral:lncRNA from 1 species